AAUGAACGCUGGCGGUAUGCCUAACACAUGCAAGUCGAACGAGACCUUCGGGUCUAGUGGCGCACGGGUGCGUAACGCGUGGGAACCUGCCCUUAGGUUCGGAAUAACUCUCAGAAAUGGGUGCUAAUACCGGAUAAUGUCUUCGGACCAAAGAUUUAUCGCCUUUGGAUGGGCCCGCGUUGGAUUAGCUAGUUGGUAGGGUAAAAGCCUACCAAGGCGACGAUCCUUAGCUGGUCUGAGAGGAUGAUCAGCCACACUGGGACUGAGACACGGCCCAGACUCCUACGGGAGGCAGCAGUGGGGAAUAUUGGACAAUGGGCGAAAGCCUGAUCCAGCAAUGCCGCGUGAGUGAUGAAGGCCUUAGGGUUGUAAAGCUCUUUUCCCCGGGAUGAUAAUGACAGUACCGGGAGAAUAAGCUCCGGCUAACUCCGUG
rnacentral:rRNA from 1 species